CACUUCUAGCAUAACAACUAUUAGAGGCACUGCCUGCCCGGUGACAUUUGUUUAACGGCCGCGGUAUCCUGACCGUGCAAAGGUAGCAUAAUCAUUUGUUCUCUAAAUAAGGACUUGUAUGAAUGGCCACCACGAGGGUUUUACUGUCUCUUACUCACAAUCAGUGAAAUUGACCUCCCCGUGAAGAGGCGGGGAUCCACCAAUAAGACGAGAAGACCCUAUGGAGCUUUAAUUAAUUAGUUCACAGACAAACAAACACACCUCCAAGGAGGACAAGCCUACCUCUGAUGGACUAACAAUUUAGGUUGGGGUGACCUCGGAAUAUAAAAUAACUUCCGAGUGAUAAAAAUUAAGACCUACAAGUCGAAACAUCCUAUCACUUAUUGAUCCAAUAAAUUGAUCAACGGAACAAGUUACCCUAGGGAUAACAGCGCAAUCCUAUUUGAGAGUCCAUAUCGAUAAUAGGGUUUACGACCUCGAUGUUGGAUCAGGACAUCCCAAUGGUGCAGCCGCUAUUAAAGGUUCGUUUGUUCAACGAUUAAAGUCCU
rnacentral:rRNA from 1 species